rnacentral:rRNA from 1 species
UGCAGAAUCCCGUGAACCAUCGAGUCUUUGAACGCAAGUUGCGCCCCAAGCCUUUAGGCCGAGGGCACGUCUGCCUGGGUGUCACGCAUCGUUGCCCCCUCAACCCCACGCCUCGAACGAGUCGUGGGGACGUGUUGCGGGCGGAUAUUGGCCUCCCGUGCGACGCGUAUCUCGCGGUUGGCCCAAAUUUGAGUCCUCGGUAAUGGACGCCGUGACGUUCGGUGGUGGCAAAUAAGAAACCNUCGAGCUCUCGUCACGCGUACAUUGUCGGUCUAAGGCUCUCGGACCCUGAAGCACGCAUCGCGACCCCA